rnacentral:rRNA from 1 species
GACGAACCGAGCGAACGUUGUUCGGAAUCACUGGGCUUAAAGGGCGCGUAGGCGGUCAGCACAAGUCAGUUGUGAAAUCUCCGGGCUUAACUCGGAAAGGUCAACUGAUACUGUGCGACUAGAGUGCGGAAGGGGCAACUGGAAUUCUCGGUGUAGCGGUGAAAUGCGUAGAUAUCGAGAGGAACACCUGCGGCGAAGGCGGGUUGCUGGGCCGACACUGACGCUGAUGCGCGAAAGCCAGGGGAGCGAACGGG